rnacentral:lncRNA from 1 species
AGCAUAAAGACUAAACUCUAGUAAGGCUCCUCAGUGCUAGGAUCUCUCAUCAGGGAGGUGAAUUUACAUCAAAGUAGUUGUUGGUGAUUACACACCCUGCAUCCCACAGCCUUCCAUGUCUUCUCGCUGGGAGUCAGUCAUCAUGGCUGCAGGAUUCUCCUGUGAAAAUCAUUCUUGGAUAACUCCCACUUCUGCCAUGGGGACUCAGACAUGCUCUCCUUGGAACCAUGGACCUCCUGUGUGUCUCUGGGCCUGAGACCCUGACUGUGCUGUUCUCUCUCUGUUCAUGGAGUUAUUGACACUGUUAAUAAAUAUCUUACUCCCACAA